ensembl:lncRNA
UCCAUGUGUUAUUCCAUAGUUUUGAUGUCUUCACUAUUAUUCUACAAUGUGGAAAAUAGUAAAAUAAAGAAAAACCCUUGAAUGAGUAGGUGUGUCCUAACUUUUGACUGGUACUGUAUGUUAAGGGGAUGGUUCACCCCAAUAGAAAGGUUCAUACCUCUAAAUACCAUCUUAUUAGAUGGAUCCAUUUCCCCCCAUUAGUUUGGGAUUCAGACCUGCAGUCAUCUUGAUUUCAGACCACUUUGGAGAAGUGUUCCACAGGCAGUAAAUCUAAUGUAGAAUAAAUGGAACCUGGAUCCAUUUCAUUCUAUUAACAUGGUUUAUGUGUUAUAGCAGUAAUGGGGUUAAACUGAUAUUAAAAUGACAACUCCAUAGGUGGUACCAGGUCAGGGGAGUUCAUCUCUGCUCCCAGCAUCCCUGGGACAGUACUGAUCAACAUAGCUGACCUGAUGCAGAGGUGGACCAGUGAUGUUUUCCUCUCAGUGGUCCAUAGGGUUUUACUGCCCCCUGCUGGAGACUGGAGCACACUGCAGUCUCUGGCUUUCUUUGUGCAGCUUGAUGAUGAGGCCCUCAUCAAUACAGGUACUGUAUGUAGAACCAUAGUAAAGACCAGUAUGGACUAUCAAUACAGAUACUGUAUGUAGAACCAUAGUAAAGACCAGUAUGGACUAUCAAUACAGAUACUGUAUGUAGAACCAUAGUAAAGACCAGUAUGGACUAUCAAUACAGAUACUGUAUGUAGAACCAUAGU